AAGUCGUAACAAGGUUUCCGUAGGUGAACCUGCGGAAGGAUCAUUAGCGAAUGAACUUGGUCAAGCUGUUGCUGGUCCUUAGGGACAUGUGCACGCUAGACUCUUGUUUCUAACCACCUGUGCACCUUUUGUAGACUUAGAGUUUUUAAGGGGAUUUGCGUUAGCUUUUCCUGUAGGCUCUGGUCUAUGUUUUUAUAUACCCUUUUAAAAUGUAAAGAAUGUGUAUUGGGCUUUGUGCAAGCCUAUAAAAAUAUAUACAACUUUCAACAACGGAUCUCUUGGCUCUC
rnacentral:misc_RNA from 1 species